rnacentral:rRNA from 1 species
CGGCGGACGGGUGAGUAACACGCGGAUAACCUACCUAUAAGACUGGGAUAACUUCGGGAAACCGGAGCUAAUACCGGAUAAUAUAUUGAACCGCAUGGUUCAAUAGUGAAAGACGGUUUUGCUGUCACUUAUAGAUGGAUCCGCGCCGCAUUAGCUAGUUGGUAAGGUAACGGCUUACCAAGGCGACGAUGCGUAGCCGACCUGAGAGGGUGAUCGGCCACACUGGAACUGAGACACGGUCCAG